AAAAAAUGAUAGAUAAAGCCGAUUUUUGUGCAUCAAAAUCAGGUGAAUUGUCCAAAAAAACAAACAAAUAUUAGAGAAGCAAAAAGAGAAAUCAAGCCAGCAUCUAUUUACAUUUCUUCCUGUCUCUCUCUCUCUCCUUGUACGUACAUCUCAAAGACGUUUCUCUGGUUUUGUCACCUCUAAUAAGGCAUCAUGGAAAGUGUCCCGGAACCUUCAGUUUCUUCCUGCAAUGGUUCCCUGGACACUGCCAGAGAAGAUCAAGAAAAUGAGGAUAUUCCUGUUGCAGGCAGAACAAUAAAACGACAUGGGUUCUCUGACACUUUUUCAUCAAAUGACUUUGUAUCAGAAUUGAGAUCUUUGAAAGCAGAGGAGGAGGAGGAGGAGGUUUUUCAGGGUUGGGGUUUUUGGGUAUUCAUUUUAGUUCUGGGUUUAUGUUUAUGAGUAGUGAAGAUAGAGAGACUAGUCAACCUGGGAAAGGCAGGUGCUUAUUUGCUGGACGGGAGGAUAUUCGAUUGUAUCCAUGAAAUCACUUCGGCUCUCGCUUUCGCUAGGAUGAGCGAUUCCGCUUAUAAAGUUGAAACUACUUCGCGUCUUGCUCAAUGGAGAAUAGACAAUCUUGCUUCCUGUACCUACCGGAAAUCCGAUCCUUUCAAGAUCGGCAAGUGGAAUUGGCAUUUGUCAGUGGAGAAGAACAGGGUAUUAUAUGUUAAAUUGUAUCCAGAGAUAUCAAACCUUACCAGAGACAAUCCCCCAAUUGCAUCAUUCAUUAUUCGAGUUGUUUGUUCUGUGGGAGAUCGCAAGGCCUUGAUUCAUCCAGAGAUAACAGACAGGCAGCUCAAGAAUAAAGACGAUUUUGUUUGGCAAAUUGAAGUUCCAUUAACUGGGAAAUUCAUAAUUGAAGUGGAAUUUCUUGAUUUGAAGAUUGCAUCUCCAGACGUAUAUGCCUACUCCCACCUUGGUUUUCUAGCUUUACACCAAUUGAAAAGAAUAAUUUUCUUUGGACACAAAUGACCACAAAAAAAAAGCAAUGUUCAUUAGAACAACAUUUAAAUAGCAAAAAAUUCUUCAAGUUGAACGAAAAGGAGCCAAAAUUUUCUAUCUGCUUACCAUUAUAGAAUACCCAACUGGUGUGUCAUUUUUUUUUCACUUAGGAGCUAGUGCUGUUGAAAUCUAGUGUAGAAGAAGGGUUCUUUGCCUUUAUUUUAACAAAUGUGAUUUGCUUUUCAAUAUACAGGGAGGAGAACCUUGUUCCAUCUGGGCUGAAGGAUCUGCAAAAAGGCAAUCAAAUGCAACAGCUCUUGCAACCCUUGGUCGAAUGUUGACAGAAAGCAUCCAUACAGACAUUACAAUUAAUGCUUCUGAUGGAAGCAUUGGAGCCCAUCGUGCAGUCCUUGCUGCAAGAUCACCUGUUUUCCAAAGCAUGUUUUCUGAUGACUUAAAAGAGAGGGAGCAGUCUACCAUAAAUAUCUCUGAUAUGUCAAUUGAGGCUUGCCAGGCUUUUGUCAAUUGCAUUUAUGGAAGCAUCCAACAUGAAGAAUUUCUUUUCCACCGUCUGGCAUUUCUCCAAGCAGCUGAUAAAUAUGAUAUUGGGGACUUGAAAGAGGCAUGCUAUGAGAGUCUUUUGGAGGAUAUAGAUACAAAGAAUGUACUGGAGAGGCUACAAAGUGCAUCCUUGUAUCAGUUACCAAAACUAAAGAUGAGCUGCAUGCAGUAUCUUGUGAAGUUCGGUAAGAUAUUUGACAUUCUAGAUGAUUUCUGUGUCUUCAUGCAAUGUGCAGAUAGGGAUCUGAUAGCUGAAGUUUUCAACGAAGCUCUCAAUGCCUGGAAAGGAUUCUAAAACUCUGUCAAUGUCCUAUGAAAGAAAUUGUGUUUAAGUUGGUCGUUUUUUAACACUUCCACAAAGUGGGUGCUUAGAAGUGAUUUGCGUGCAUAAUUUGUUGCCAUCAAGUUAAUUCUUUGAUUUGAAGAAAUUUGUUUUCUUCACGUACAUAAAUAUUGUAUUUCAUGACAUAGAAAUACCACCUUUGUUAAAGAUGAUCCUGUAUUCAUGAAUGCUUGAUUGCAUGAAAUGUAAAUGAUUUGUUAUUUGAAUUUAGAUUUCCAGAAGAUUUUAAGUUUCACAGUAUAUUAUUGAGUUUAUAUUUCAGAACUACACUGUGUUUGAAUGAUCAGAUAUGAACUUCAACUCAAAUCUGGUUUGUAAGGAAUCAAUUAUACAAACAACAAUAAAGUCAAGAGUUGGUUUCAGGUCAUUUUCAAAUUAUCCAUAUGCUAUUUAGACACUUGAAAUCAUGGAAACAUCAGUAUAUUACAGCAUUGGUUGCAUUCAAUAACCACUUUGGUUUUAUGAAUCAUCUUAGGUAUCAGAUUAAUUGAUUGGCCUAGCAACCUAAUUCUGCUUAAUUAAUACACUAAUCGCAGUAGUAGGUCAGGAGGAAUCAGAACAUGGACAAGUAAAAGAAUGAAUUAUGCUAAGCAUGAAACUCCAAUUAUAGAAAACAAAUAAACGCUUCGU
rnacentral:misc_RNA from 1 species